UUAUUGUUCCCCAAAUUCUCUCUUUCUAUAUACCUAUUCAAUUUUUAAUCUCCACAAUUCUGCGGCGGCGUUUCCAAAGGUACCAUUUGCUUAAUUCUUUAUUACUUUUGGUACGACUUUCUCCACGGUAAGGUACGAUUUUCUCCACCGUAAUCCCCGAUGUUGUGAAGAUUUAAUAUUUUGAGUUAUAUCAGUGUUGGAGUAAUUAGUUAUGUUUUCUAUCAAAUUUUGAUGUGAAAAUUCUCCAUACUAAAUAAUUGAAAAAAUAGUGGUUGGUUUUAUGAAAUCAAUGGUCUGUGUGUGUUGUGUGUGUUUUGUGAAUUACGGUGUGAAGUUUUAAAAAUAUGGUUCUGCUCUUUUUGUGAAUUGAAUCGUAUGCAUAUUUGCUUCUUUGCCCUAAUUUUUUAUUUUACUUUUCUUAAAAGAAUCUUGUGUGCAAAUUGACAUCAUACAAGUGCUUGUGUUUUGUUUUUCUUUUGCGGGUGAAUUCAGAAGAGGGUUUGUGGUGUAAUUAUUAUUUUCUUAUAUAAAGUCGGCAUAUAUGUAUAUAGUAAUCAAAUCCUAACAUACACAAUCGUGG
rnacentral:lncRNA from 1 species